rnacentral:lncRNA from 1 species
GCUGCAGUAAGGAUAAAAUCAAAUCACAUGGUCACAGAAUCUGAUGAUUGGAAGUAAACUUCCAACUGGAGUUCAGCAGCUAACUAUCAGAAUUGCCUGGAGACCUUGUUGAAAAAUAUGAAUUCCCCAGUCAAGGAUUCUGUUCCUUUUUUUCCAAGGGUGAGUGAGCAGAUGGCUGGAGCAUUGGAAGAGAGUGAGUUCAGGAAUCUCACUAAGAAGUGCAAAGUAAGAUGAAAGUUUUGGGGUCAGGAUUGAGACCAGGAGCCAGAAUGACCCCAACCCAAAAUCUCCAGAAAGGAUACUCCAGAAGGGCACAGUCUUGUAGUACAGGAGGAGAAGCCCUCAGCUGGGAAGCAGGAGGUCUUUCUUCAGCCA